rnacentral:rRNA from 1 species
UACGGAGAGUGCAAACGUUAUUCGGAAUUAUUGGGCGUAAAGGGCGCGUAGGCGGCUUGGCAAGUGGAUGGUGAAAUCCCUCGGCUUAACCGAGGAACUGCCGUCCAAACUGCUUCGCUUGAGACCGGGAGAGGUGAGUGGAAUUCCCAGUGUAGCGGUGAAAUGCGUAGAUAUUGGGAGGAACACCAGUGGCGAAGGCGGCUCACUGGACCGGUACUGACGCUGAUGCGCGAAAGCGUGGGGAGCAAACGGG